rnacentral:rRNA from 1 species
UUGCUUAUCAACAGAAGGAGUCUACUGCUCGCGUUGCGUCUAUUAUGGAAAACACCAAUCUUUCCAAGCAACAGCAGGUUUCCGAGAUUAUGCGCCAAAUGCUUACUCAAGCUCAAACGGCUGGUCAGUAUUUUACCAAUGACCAAAUCAAAGAAAUGACUCGCAAGGUUAGUGCUGAGGUUGACUUAGUUCAUCAGCAAACGCAGAAUCAGCGGUAUGGCUCUUCUCAUAUUGGCGCUACUGCAAAGGAUAUUUCUAAUGUCGUCACUGAUGCUGCUUCUGGUGUGGUUGAUAUUUUUCAUGGUAUUGAUAAAGCUGUUGCCGAUACUUGGAACAAUUUCUGGAAAGACGGUAAAGCUG